AGACAAGUGAAAGUAAAGAUGAUCAUUUCAAAUUAUGCUUAAAAGAUUUCUAUUUCAAAGAUAACUGAAGAAGGAAUAUAACAACAGAUCUGGUUUAGCAAAAAGUACCAACAAGAGAAGAGUCUGUGAUUUACUACCACCAAGUGGCUUUCAUAAAUUCUUUUUACACUCACCCCUCCCCAGGUUUCUUAUUCCCAUGGAAAUCAUUGAAAGUCUUAGGAAAAGCUCAACUGGCUGUGGGACUUUCCUCAUAAUUAAAGUAGCCAUGCUGGACCCAAAAUAAUAAUGGAGAAAACAAAUCAAAAGCUCCCACGAUACUAUUAUAGAUACUGAUUGGUGGUUGGCCUUCUUUCUUGAAGAGGACCAAAAUGACAUCACCAUGUUGGAGUCAAGAUACCGUCUGUCCGACUGUGGCUAAUCAAUCCAGUAUGAGCUCACAAGGCUCGACCACAGGUCAGGCAUAAAUAGUCCACAAGAACAUCUGGAGUAGAGAUGUCUCUAAAUUUGUCAUCUCACAUUUGAAGCACAGCACCUUUUAUGAUGCAGGCACGCCAUGCUGAGCUGUCCUGUGCCAGCGUCUCCUAUGUCAUGCAAUUUAUUCCAGAGUUCUACAGAGAGACCUUGAGAGUGUCCUUGUAUCGCUUCUUCUGACCUCCAUGUGAGCUCUUGCCUUGUGUCAGUUCUCUGUAAAAAAGCCUUUUAGACAAAUAUAUGUUUGGCAUUUGAACAUCUUGGCCAGCCCAUUGGAGAUUUGCGCUCUGCAGGAGAGUUUGAAUGCUUGGCAGUUUAGCUCAUGAAAGGACUUUAAUGUCUGGUACCUUUUCUUGCCAGGUGAUCUUCAGACUCUUCCUAAGACAAUUCAAAUGGAUACUGUCCAGGUUUCACAGCAUACAACAAUGAGGUCAGCACAAUGGCUCUGUAGACCUUCACUUUCAUAGUCAAACUAAUACCUGUUCUCUCCCACUUUCCUUCACGGUCUCCCAAACGCUGACCUAGCUCUGGCAGUCUGUGCAUCAACCUUAUCAUCUAUGUGUACUGGAAAAGUAUACAGCCAAGAAGAGAACCAAAAAUACCUGAUAAAAUCCUAAUGAUGAUUCCAGUUUUCUCUGAGGCCUGAACCUGUCCUGGAGCAUAAUAAUAAAACCUAAGUUUUUAACUUCUA